UGCCAUUUCACGCAAAUCGUUGCAUGUUUUUUGGUUUCCCAAAAAUAAGAAAUUUGCAGGUGAUUGAGGAGGAAAGAGAUGCUGGAGAUGUGGAAUUGAGGAGACAGUACGAGAAAUGACAGCACUUCAACUGUGUCAACUGCCACUCUCAUCUGCUGCAACCCAAUCCUCCUCCUUUCGUCGCACCCAUCCAUGUUCAUUUCUAGCUCUGAGUGACAAAACCCGAUUCAUAAUUCAAAGGAGGAAAACCAGAGUAAAAACUGUACGGGUCAGGAAGGAUGAUCUUACAGAAACACAACUAUCCACCUCCUCACCUGCCCAAAAUUAACAGCAGUAGCAGCAGCAAGAACCUGACCUCCAAGACCUUGAAUAUGUCCGCCAAAUCCAAAAUGUUCGUUCUCUUUUCCCUCUUUUUUGUAUUUUAAAAAUGAUUUCUUGCUUACCCAUUUCUUCAUAGUAGUGAAUCGUUAAGCUUUGUGUCUGUAUAUGCGUAGGUCUUGGAGCUACUCAGGAAAAAUAGGGACACGCUCUUCAGCGAGAUUGGAAUGUCGCUUACUCCUUUGAUGAUUAGAUGGCUAAGGAAGGGGAAGGUAAUACUAGGUUUCCCAUAGAAUGAUUAAUGUUAGGCGUAGAGUAAAUAGUGUUGCAUUUUUAGGCUUAAAAGUUGUUAAAAUAGAUGACCCCCAUAAGUAAUAAAAGAGAGUUUUAGGAAUUUUUACAGUGAGCAUUUUGAAAACAAUAAACUUAGCGAGGAAUAGAAAGUAGGCUAGAGAGACAAUUUUCAGAAGAAGAGGUUUAGAUUCACUGUCUUUGAGGGAAAGUAUAGGGUACAUGAUUAGGUUGGUAUGAUAUUGAAAGGGUCGCCCUGGGUUCAAUUAGGGACCUAUUAGGUCUCAUUGUGGGUUGAUAAAGGGAGGGAAAAGAUUUAAGGAACUUUUAUUUUUGUUAUAAUUUGAGGUUUUAUGGUUGGAAGAAAUGAUAGAAUUUUCAGACAAAAGAAGAUGGGUGUUGAUGAAUUUAUGGAUUUGGUUAGGAUUCGGUUGGCUUGGUGGAUUAAUUCAUGCAUUCCCAGAUUGAAGCAAUUGCCUUUGAAUAGUCUCUUCAUCUCAACUCCAGAGUUGGCACUUGUGGGAAGAAAAAAUGGCAAGAUCAAACCUAUUACUUGGGACCCUCCUCCGUCUGGUUGUUGGAAAUUUAAUGUUAGACAAAUUGUUUUUUAGGUAAAACCGAGGCCUGCAGUUGUUGGUGGCAUGUUAAGAGACUGGUUGAGAAACAUAAGGUUUUUCUGUUCAAACAAAUUUUCUUGCAAUCAUUUUUUGAUAAAAACUCCAUUCAAGUCAAUAUAUUGUAUCAUGUAAACCAUUACUCAAAGCCUGGUACUGAAUGUAUAUUAAAGAAAUCAAUUUGAUUAAGAUACACCAAUGAUCUCUUGCUUGGAAAGCCCAUUGAUUGAACCAAUUUCUUGAACUAAACUCAUAUAUAGAUUGCUAGAAAUUCCAAUAGGAAGAUUUUUCCAUCAUGAAUUUGUCUUUAUUUCUUGUUUUGUAACUUGAUAGGAAAAGAGAAUUUCUUAUUUAUUUAUUUACGUUUUCAAAUAUUAAUCAAAUUAAAACUAUAACUAUACACAUUUUAAUAUCAAAACAAAAUUAUUUUUAAAAAAUAUUAAAUCCUAUAUAUGGAAUAGAUUCUUUUUUAAAAAAAAAUAAAUAUCUAAGUAAUUUUUUUAAUUAUUUUUAGUAACGAAAAUAUUAUAGAUAUAAAAAAAUAAAAAUAAAAAUAUAUUAUUAUUAUAUUAGUGAAAUGAGUAAAAAAGGAUGAAAUGAGAUAGGGCUGGAAUCCAUUUCCUAAAGUCUUUUCCCUAAUUUAAAUAAGGUGGAGAAUUUUUUUCAUUUCCUAUUUAAUUCAAAGCCAAAUGAAGCGUUGACCUAUCUUCAUUCGUAAUCUUUCGUUAGAUCUCUAUUAGAUUUAAAUUAACUUGUCAUCUCAGUAGAAAGCCAUUAAAAACUUUUUAAAGCUUCUUGACAAAUUUUCUAAACUCUUAUUUGUAUAAUAAAUAAAAAAAAAACUUUUAGCUACAUGUCCAAAAUAUUCUUUAAUAAAAGAAAUGACUCAUGUAUAACCCAUCUUAAGUAGUAAAAUCUUGCACUAAAAAAUACCUCCUUAACUUCUAAUACCUUUUUUUGUUUGUCAAUGUCUUAUUUGUUUUCGUACAUAUUUAAAUAAAAUGAUAUCAAUCGUAUUUAAAAAUAACUUGUAUUACCUUCUAAGAUAAAGUUUUAAAUAUUUUUAAGAACUUCAAAAAUGAUCUUAAAUUAAACCCUUAAGGCACAUGCUAAAGUUUAACAUUUACUAGCAAACAUCACGCCAAUAUGAUUCCUCACAAGGAGGGACGUCUCUAAGUAAAACUACUUGUUUAAUAUAUUCAUUCCUUUUUUAUUGAUAAACAUCAUAACCAUUUUUGGUAUAUAUCUUGAUAAGACAGUAGUUAUCAUACUUGAAAACAGAGUUAUGAAUUUUAAAUAAGAUAAACUCUUAAAUAUUUUUUAAAAAUAUCAAAAUUUAAUGAUAAGAUAAAACAUUUAAGUCAAAAUACCAAAUACAUGACUCUUAAUGAAUCAAAUCACCUAGUGUAACGACCCGUGAACUUGAAAAAAAUAAAUUAUAAAUUAAAUACGGAAGAAAAUAAUAAAUUAGGGUUUAUGUUCCAUACACAAUAAUUCGGGAUACCCAAUAGGACUACGAGAAUAACUCUUCUAAAUAAACAACUAAUAAUCAAAGAAAUAAAUGAAAAGUAAACAAACUAGAAAUAAAUGAAAAGUAAACAAACUAACGUUCUACUCGCAACCCUCUUGUGGAUCGGGUCCUGGAUCUUGGUUCUCUUGAUUUGAAAUGGUUAAUGAAUGAGUGAGCUAUAUUACUCCUGUAAGAAUAUCACACUACUCACCGACACAUAAAUAAAUGUUCGUAGAAAUCAUAAAAAUAACUAAUUAAACUUUUAAUUUAAGUACAAUUUAUUUAUUAUAAACAAAAUUAUUUACCGCAUGCUUACUCCAGCGAGGUUUCCAAAAUCAACCUAUAGAGUCAAUAACAUAAACAAUAUAAUAUUUUCAUAUUCAAUCAGUAGGAACAAUAACUUUCUCAUUUAUUAACCUACUGGUAUCCAUUGGGGUCCACAGGGAUGUCCACACUACGUGUGAACUUUUUUUCAAUAUUUUCAACUAACGGGCCAUCCCCAUACCCCUUCUGGUAUGAGCGCUAAGAAAUACCACCCCUCAAUACUCCGUCCGAUAUAAGGGUAAAACGGGUCGUCCUUAUACCCCGUCUGGUAUGAACACCAAAUUACCAAUCCUCGAUAUCUCGUCCGGUAUGAAGAAACGUUCACGGUAGGGUUUCCUAUGUACUAGGUCCAUCCACCAUCUCUUAGGAUAUCCAGUAAGGCUGUCAUUCAUCCAUUCACUUAAUCAAACAAUUUUCUGUUUACCUUUAAUUUUCAAUUUCUCAAUUAACCAUAAAUCACGUAAAACAAACAAUAUAUGCAUCAAGGGAACACAAUCGAAUUAUCAUACCAAUUCCAGUGUAUUAUCAUGUAUUCGAAAACGUAAAAUAAAUCAAUCAGUGAAAUAUGACAAACAAUAAUAGAUAACCGGUUCUGGCUCCAUUAAUAACCUUUAAUUAUCGAUAUUUCUAAAUUAUGUAAAAUACCAUAUUAUUCAUAAUUAAACUUCAAUUUCAUAACUAGGAAUAAGGUGAGGGAUCUUACACAAAUUGAUGUUCGAGAUGAUAAACUUUCAAUUGCGCCUACUGGCGGUUCCCGAAUUUUUUAAAUUUUCCUUCGGGGAUUAAAACACACUUCAAAUACCUAGAAAUAUCCCAAAAAAUUCAAAAUCAGUGUUACAGACCCCUUUUGGCCAAUUUCAGAAUUUCAGCACGGCGGCUCAGCCGUGCUCUGGCGAUGGCACCGCCACGCACAGUGGCGGUUUAUCUUGGGUUGGCUGAUUUCAGCUAGUUUUGUACCCAUCCCUAUGAAAAAAAUACAUUAAGAGGCAUCGGUUAGCCAAGAAAAAAGUCAAAACACUGAAGUUUACCAGCAGCGGAGUUUUCCAAUACGGCGGCUCCGCAAGCUCACCUUCGCAGUUAGGUGUUUUACUUCGGUCAACCUAUAUAAAAAGGAAUGGUGAUUACAAUGGUGGAAAAAUUACAUGAAAUGAGAAUCGGGAAUGACCUCAUCAGAGGCGAUUUUUUACUUUUUUUCGCAGCAGCGCUGUCGGACUUUAUCCAUAGUUUUUACCUCAUCCGCCGGUCUUUUUACUCCGAUUUAGCCAUGAGGGUGUUCAAAAUUGAAUUUUGAGUGAAUGAAAUUUUUUUUUACCUCUUUUGGUGAUCAGAAGUGGCUUCGGCACGACAACAUACGACGGUCGGCUCCCUUCCCAGUAGCCGACUUUUCUUCUCCGGCGAGGGGGUGUGGUGGCUAGGGUAGGGUUUGGUGUGAAGAGAGGUAUUUAUAUUCGUCUCCUUUUAAUCUGGGCUGUCUACUACGUUUAAUUUGGACUGUCCGAUCACGUUUAAAUAGGAAGUGAAUCUGAGUCGUUCAUCGCGAUUUGAUCUAAACUAUCCGAUCGCGUUUAAAUAGGAAGUGGAUCUGUGUCAUUCAACGUGUUUAAUCGCAACCGUCUGAUUGCGUCAGAGAGAGGAAUGGAUCCAGACUGUUCACGCCCGCGAGAACGAAUCUGGACCGUCCGAUCACAGACACGCAGAUUGCCAGCGUGGCCUCUUACGUGGCACCCCAUCAGUCUGCCUUGCCAAGUGGCGCGCUCUGAUUCGUCAGAGCUGCUGACUAGGUAUCGUACGUAGUACAUUUUUGUUAAAUUAUGUUUUGACCCUCAAUUUUUUAUUUUUCUUUCUAAAACACACUCAGAACCCAAAUUUUCACCCAUUUUUCCCAAAAUUAUUUUCAAUUUCAUCAUCUACCUAUUUUUUCCUAAUUUUACAUUAAAUAAUAAUUUAUAAAAUAAAAAAUUAAAUUUUAUACAUAAAUUUAAAUAUUACAAAUUUAAUUUCGGAUAUUACAACUCCCCCCUUAAAAGAAAUUUAGUCCCUCAAAUUUGUCUCUCUCUCAUUCAAUCAAGUAGUUGGAGAUACUAGGCUCUAAAGUCUGCUUCUAGCUCCCAUGUAGCUUCUCCCUGUGUGUGAUUCUGUCAUAGGACAUUAACGAAUGAACUUUUUUAGUUGCAGAGUAUUCUGCUCAUUCGGUCUAUAAUACCCACCGGUAUCUCUUCAUAGGACAGAUCCUCAUGAAGUAAAAGAGGCUCGUGGGCCAGGACGUGAGAGAGGUUUGGGUUGUACUUGUGUAGUAUGGACACAUGGAACACAUUAUGGAUUCUGGAUAGUUCUGGAGGUAGUGUCAGUCUGUAGGUGGCGGUGUCAAUUCUUUCUAAGAUUUCAAAUGGCCCAAUAAAAUCAGGUAUUUAGUUUCUCCCUCUUGCUAAACCUACUGAUUUUUUUGAAAAGAGUAACCUUAAAGAACACCCGAUCACCUUUCUCAAAUUCCAAAUCCCUCCUUCGUGUAUCCGCAUAAUUCUUUUGUCUACUCUAAGCCGUCUGAAUGUUUUUUCUGAUCUUAACUAUUUUGGUUGUAGUCUCCUCUAUAAGAUCUGGACCAAACAAUUUUCUAUCACCCACCUCUUCCAAACAGAUUGGCGAUCUCCAUGGGCGGCCAUUCAACGUCUCUUACGGAGCCAUGCUAAUACUUGCUUCGUAACUAUUAUUGUGAGCAAACUCUAUUACGGAUAAAUGAUCAUUCCAAUGGCCUCUGAAGUUAAGAAUACGAGCUCGGAGUAUUUUCUCCGGUAUGCGAAUUGUCCUUUCUUAUUGUCCAUCGGUCUGAGGGUGGAAUGCAGUACUAAGGGACAGUUUUAUUACCAUGGCUUGUUGAAAAGUAGACAAGAACUGCAAAGAGAAUCUGGGGUCCUUGUCGGACACUACUGUCACUUGUACUCCAUGUAACAUGAUUAUCUUUCGGAUAUAUAUUCUCGCUAAUUUAUCCAAGGGAUUGGUCAUCCUGAUGGCUAAGAAGUAAGAAGACUUGGUGAGUCGGUCAAUAAUUACCCAAAUGGAGUCAUGUCCCGAGUGUGCCCUAGAUAACCCUAUCACAAAAUCCAUUAUGAUAUGUUCCCACUUUCACUCCAGUAUUGGUAAUUGCUAAAGUAACCCGCCUAAGCUUUAAUACUCUACCUUGACUUGCUAACAUACCAAACACUUGAAAACAAAGUCGACCACAUCUCUUUCCAUCCCGUUCUACCAAAAUCGGAGUCGCAUACUUUGAUAUAUUUUAGUACUUUCGAUAUGCGUGACAAACUUUGAGCUGUGAGCCUCUGUUCAUGAUGUCUCUUUUCAGCUCACUGUCACAUGGGACACACAUCAUGUCCUGAAAUCUAAGUAACCCAUUAGUAGAGACCCAAAAUUCUGAAUUAACUCUCUGUUCUGCAUCCUUCUUGACGGCUACUAGGAUGGAAUCAAUGGAUUGUGAUUCCUUUAUUCUCUAGAUCAACUUAGGUUGGACAGUCAGGUGGCCCAAACAUGUGACGCUCUUCAAGUUCUGAAGUUGUACCUGUUGUGUGACCCUUAUUGUCAUACCUUCUGAAACUAUUAGAUGAGCUAAUAUACCUGCACUUUUUUUACUGAGUACGUCGGUUAUCGCGUUGCCCUUAUCAGUAUGAUACAAGAUAUUUCAAUCGUAGUCCUUGAAGAGUUCUAUCCAUUUUCUCUAAUGCGUGUUGAGAUCUUUUUGAAUGAAUAUGUAUUUCAAUCUCUUAUGGUCGGUAUACAUCUGAAAGAUCUCCCUAUAUAAGUAAUUGCGCCAAAUCUUCAAAGCGUGGAUAAUCGCAACAAGUUCUAAGNNNNNNNNNNNNNNNNNNNNNNNNNNNNNNNNNNNNNNNNNNNNNNNNNNNNNNNNNNNNNNNNNNNNNNNNNNNNNNNNNNNNNNNNNNNNNNNNNNNNNNNNNNNNNNNNNNNNNNNNNNNNNNNNNNNNNNNNNNNNNNNNNNNNNNNNNNNNNNNNNNNNNNNNNNNNNNNNNNNNNNNNNNNNNNNNNNNNNNNNNNNNNNNNNNNNNNNACAGUCAUGCAAUUUUUUGAUAUAUUUCCUCAACUCUUCCAUUUUUACAUGACUCAUUCGGUAAGGGAUAACUAAGAUAGGUUACGUGUCAAACUGAAAGUUUAUGGUGAACUUAACUUUCCUGUCCACUGGUGGUCCGAGAGGUUCAUCAAGAAAUACAUUCGGAAAGUCUCGGACUACUGGGAUAUCUUGAAUAUUGUGGAGAAAACAACUGAGUUAAAGCGUUAUGUACUAAGAAAUUUGUUAGGGGAUAAUAAUAUUUAAAAAUUUUAUUAGCUUGUAAAUGACUCUUUGUUAUGAGGCUUAAAUAUAAUUUUUCUCUUGGAAAUAAUCCACGGUGGCGUGAUACGUCGCUAACCAGUUCAUUCUUGAAAAUUUAUCAGAGUCCCCCCAUGUCAAUCUCUAUCAAGUCUGUCAUGGGUGAAACUGAGUCCCGUAGAAGAGGGGCCAGAUAUUACUGGGGAGGGACCGGGUGUCCUGUAACGGUGCCAGAUGAUACGGUGGGGGCUCCAAAUUGUAUUGUGACAGUGUCGGAUGAUAUAACGGAGGAGCAGGGUUGCAUCGAGGUAGCGUUAAAUCCUCUCGUUGUAGGGGUGACUCAUAGUGUGGUGGAGGGUCAGACAAUUCCCUCAUCUCUUCCCUGGUCUACUAGGUAGAGAUGAGUCUCUCUAAAAUCUCGAAAAGUCAAUCGACAUUCUCUCGAAGCGACCUGUCUCAGGCUGCGUUGUUCAAUAAAGGACCUCAUCUCCUUGUGUCUUUGUACUUAUUUUUAAUAAGAAAUGGUUGAGUGAUGAUUCAUUCUUUGGUAUUUCCUAGGAUUUUUGUGUAAGGAAUAGUUUUGAGGAACCUAGCUUUGAUACCAACUGUAAUGACUCAUGAACUUGAAAGAAAAUAAAUUAUGAAUUGAAUGCUCUGAGGAACCUGGCUCUGAUACCAACUAUAACGACCCAUGAACUUGAAAGAAAAUAAAUUAUGAAUUGAAUGCGGACGUGAAAUAAUAAAUUAGGGUUUACAUUCUUUACACAAUAAUUUGGGAUACCCAAUAGGGUUACGGGAAUGAUCUUUUAAAAAAAACAACUAAUAACCAAAGAAAUAAAUGAAAAGUAAACAAACUGAACGUCUUACUCAUAACCCUCUUAUAAAUCGAGCCUUGGAUCUACGUUCUCUUUAUCUGAAAUUGUUAAUGAAGGAAUGAGCUACACUAACCUAGUAAAAAUAUCACAUUACUCAUCGACACAGAAAUAAAAGUUGGUAGAAAUCAUAAAAAUAACUAAUGAAACUCUUAAUUUAAGUAAAAUUUAUUUAUCAUAAAUAAAAUUAUUUACCGGAUGCUUACCUCAGCGAGGUUUCCAAAAUCAACCUAUAGAGUCAAUGACAUAAACAAUAUCAUAUUUUCAUAUUCGAUCAGUAGGAAUAACAGCUUUCUCAUUUAUCAGUCUACUAGUAUUCAUUGGGGUCCAUAGGAAUAUCCCUACUACGAGUGAACUCUUUUUGAACAUUUUUAACUAACGAUACAUCCCCAUACCCCGUCCAGUUUGAGUGCUAAGAAAUACUAUCCCUCAAUACCCUAUCCGGUAUAAGAGUGAAAUGGAUCGUCCCCAUACCCUGUCCGAUAUGAGUGCCAAAUUUUUAAUCCUCGAUACCCCGUCCGGUAUGAGGCAACAUUCACAGUAGGGUUCCCUAUGUACCCGGUUCGUUCACCAUCUCCUACGAUAUCCAGUAAGGCUGUCAUUCAUUCACUCACUUAAUCAAAUAAUUUCUCGUUUACCUUUAAUUUCUAAUUCUCAAUUAACUAUAAAUCACUAAAACAAGCAAUACAUGCAUUAAGGGAAUACAAUUGAAUUAUCAUACCAAUUCUAGUGUAUUAUCAUGUAUUUAAAAACAUAAAAUCAAUCAAUCAGUGAAACAUAGCAAACAAUAAUAGAUAAUCGGUUCCGGCUCCAUUAGUAACAUUUAAUUAUCAAUAUUUCUAAAUAAGGGGCACAAUCAAAUUAUCAUACCAAUUCCAGUGUAUUAUCAUGUAUUCGAAAAUGUAAAAUCAAUCAAUCAGUGAAACAUGGAAAAUAGUAAUAGAUAACCGGUUCCGGCUCCAUUAGUAACCUUUAAUUAUUGAUAUUUCUAAAUUACGCAAAAUACCAUAUUAUUCAUAAUUAAACUUCAAUUCCAUAACCGGGAAUAAGUUUAUGGAUUCUUACACAAGUUGAUAUAUGAUAUGUUAAACUUUCAGUCCUGCCUACUAACGGUCUCCGGGUUCCCUGAAUUUUUUUUCGGGGAUUAAAACAUAUUUCAAGUACCUAAAAACAUCUUAAAAAAUCCAAAAUCAGUGUUAAAAACCCCUUUUGGCCAAUUCCAGAAUUCUGGCAUAGUGGCUACGCCGUGCUCCGACGACAGCACCACUACUUGCAGCGACGGUUUGCCUUGGGUUGGCCAUUUUCGGCCGAUUUUGUACACAUCCCUGCGAAAAAAUAUGUUAAGGGGCCUUGGUUGGCCCAAAAAAAAUGAAAAACCGAAGUUUACCGGCGGCGGAAUUUUCCGGUACGGCGGCUUCGCGGCUCACGUUCGUGGUUGGGUAUUUUGCUUCGGUUAACUUGUAGAAAAACGAAUGAUGAUUACAAUGGUGGAAAAAUUACACGAAACUAGAAUCAAGAAUGGUCUCAUCGGAUGCAGUUUUUUACUUUUUGCUGCGAUGAUGCUAUCGGGCUUUACCCGCAGUUUUUGGCUUAUCCACUAGUCCUUUUGCUCCGAUUUAGCCAUGGGGGUGUUUAAAAUUGAAUUUCGAGCAAAUGAGAAAAAUUUUACCUCUUUUGGUGGUUGGAAAUGGCUCCGGCGCGGCGAUGGGUAGCGAUCAGCUCCCUUUCCGGCGGCUAGCUCUUCUUCUCCGGCAGAUAGGGUUAGGGUUUGGUGUGAAAAUGAGUAUUUAUAUCCGUUUCCUUUUAAUUUGAGCCGUCCAUCGUGUUUAAUCUAAACUGUCCGAUCGCAUUUAAAUAGGAAGUGAAUGUGGACCGUUCAUCGCGAUUUAAUCUGGGUCAUUCGAUCGCAUUUAAAUAAGAAGAGAAUCUGGACCGUUCAUCGCGUUUAAUCGCAACCGUCCGAUCGCGUCUGAGGGCAAAACUGAUCCGAACAGUCCACACGCGCGGGAACGAAUUUGAACUGUCUGAUCGCGGGCACGCGGAUCGCCAGCGAGGCCUCCCGCAUGGCACCGUGUCAGCGUGCCUUGAUACGUGGCGUGCUUCGGUUCAUCGGAACUGCUAACUGGGUAUCCUACGUGACACAUUUUUCUUAAAAUAUAUUUUGACUCCCAGUUUCUGAUUUUUCUUUCAAAAAUACAUUCAUAACCUAAAUUUUCAUCACUUUCUUCUAAGAUUAUUUUUAAUUUCAUCGUCUACUUAUUUUUUCCUAAUUUUACAUUAAAUAAUAAUUUAUAAAAUAAAAAAUUAAAUUUUAUACAUAAAUUUAAAUAUUACAAAUUUAAUUUCAGGUAUUACACCUAGUGUACAACCUGCCACACAAAGUAUUAUCUUUGUAAGUAAACUCACGAUCCUUUGGAUUGUCCUUUGGAUUGUUUAGGUAAAAAUAUUUAAAACUCCGAUUAUGAUUUGUUUAUAGAUCUCGUAAUUAAGAGAUUCAAUCUGAGGUAUCAAAUUUCUAACUUCCAACUAUGGAAGCAGAGAAAAAGUUGUAGGUAAAAAAUGAAAAUUAGAAAGCCACGUUUCAGGUUGAAGAGAUAGAGAGUAUAUAGUGAUGAACAGAAGAAAUUGGGUUCACCCAUGAAGACUGGGAGUGUAUACGAUAACGGAGCAACAAAUGCAAUAUGAUCAUAUCAUAUAUGCAGACUAUGAGUAUACAAGUAAAUCCACAAACAAUUUCAACAUCAUCAGACAGGCUCCUAUAUUUGCUUUCUAGAAAACAAAGAAAAAGGAAGAAGAAAAAUCACUGACGGAACCACAAUUCGAACAAUAAAGGAAUCUUUGCGGAGGAAGCAGAAUCAAACUGAGAUAUCAGAAGGGCAUAAGGCCUGAGAGACUGCUCAUAAUCGAAACUUGAGUAGCAGCCUAAAAGAUCUUCUGGGUCUGUCCAUUCAAUUCCAUCAAGUUUCUCCACAUCAAUAAGAUUCAAAGCCCGCCUUUCAAAUGCUUUCCAGCUCUCCAUCAUCACCAUUCUCCAACCCCAUACAUUUUUCUUAUCAUCCAACUCAUGGCAGCAAAUGAACUUACAACCCUGGCUCAGUAUUCGAAUGGCUUGCUUCUGCAAUUCAGGAAAACAAUCGCCGCAUUUCUCCCACCAAAUUCCUGAAAAUCAACUCAACAUUAUCAACAUUAUACCUUGCUAAUAACAAAACUAAAUUUUGUUUCCUAAUACUUACUGGGAUGGAAUGAUUUUGCCAUCUCUAUGGCAGUGUCUGUGAAUAGAAUUGGGUCCAUGGACUGGUACUGUAUCAGUUGUGAGACACAAGCCUUCUCCUCCUCAUCACUAGAGAAAAUGAGGUUGGAUAUAAAUUGCUUAAUCCGAUUAAAUUGGAGAUCAGCUUCCUUGAAUUUCUGGGCAAGCAAGUUAGAUGGGUUAAGAAAAGCUGCACUUUCAUGAAUUGGAAAGAUAAUGUCUUUUUUGGCUUCAGAAAACAAUUCCCAUAUGAUUUGAUAAUGAGCAGAGUCCAGUGCAUUUUUGUCCUCAACGUAUUCAGCAAGGCUAGACUGUGUCUUCUCCAACAGCUCGUACAAGUAUCCCAAACCUGGACUGUCCACUGAAAGUAGCAGAGACAUAGCUUGAAAUAAUGGGCAUAAAAUCAUCUCUAACCUUUUCAAUCCAUUCCAGAAAUCCUUGCAAUGAAUGACGAAGUUAAUGAAAAUUGCAGCUUCUUUGUCUUCAUGCUCCACCACCUGAUCACUACAUACUUGGAUGGGUUGCAGUGUUUGUUCAAAUCUGAUAAGUGAUUUCAACACCCAGAAUCCGCUUGCAAUUUUGCAGAGCUCAGCAUCCCAAUGCUUGUGAUUCAAGCACCCAACAACCGCAUCCAAAUUCUUGAAUUUACUCAUAUCCUUUGGAAUGCAAACAAUCCUGGGUUCGUAAUAUUUGUCUAUGAAUUUGGAAACAACCGUAGCAGAUUUCACUAUAUUCCGCACAAAACCAACUUGGAAUAUGUUCACUAAAAGUUUCCCAACAACCCCAGCAGCACAUUUGCUGAUGACAGUCACCCAUGGAUACUGUUCAUUGAAAAGAUUCAUCACAGAUUGAGGAACUUUCUCAUGAGCCAAGAACUGAACAAUGUUUGCAGGAUCAAUGACAUCAAGCUGUUCUUUGAUAUCCCGUACCCAGUACUUCUCUGAAUCCCAAGGUAAAGCUUGGCUACUUUGAGUUUGAGGAUAAACAUCAGGCCAUAGAAAUAUCCCUUUCGGUGUAUAAACCCUUAUGCCUCUAAAUAUCUCGUACCAUGACCUGAACUUCUUUAUAUCAGGGGUUAUGGUGCAACCAGUUUUGUUUAAAGACUGCUUCAAAUCUUGGAAAUACUCAUCCACUUCUUUCUCCACUUGAGGAAUCAAGUGAGUGUCCAGAGUUUCACGAUCUGGCAGUUGAUAAGGAGACCCGAAUUCUGAUACCGCCUUUAUGAAGUCAAUAAAGAACGGUGAGUCCGUAAAAUCAUAUGAAGAUUCUGAAUCUUUGGGCCUGCUUGUAGCAAUGAACUUGGCAAGCAUUUUGUCCACUGAUUCUUUAUCCUUGUUCUUUGCCUCCAUGACUGCUACAGCACCUUGUGAUGCUGGUGGUGAGGAAGCACAAAUGAUCGCCUUUGACAUGAGAGUGUUUCUUGUUUUCUUGGCAGCUGGUUAUGAAUUAAAAAAGACAGCGAGAGAGAGAGAGAGAGUCAAUGCUAAAAUGAAAUGACAAAAAGAAAGUUAAUCAUCAUCAAAACCACAAAGAAACUAUAUGCAAGAAAGAUUCUUGAAAGAUACAGAGAGAAAAAUGGUGAGAUUCAUAAACUGAAGGGAGUAAAAAAGAAGAGCAGUUUCUUGAAGAAAGAAUGAAGAUUUGGCGAAACCUUACAGCAGAGGGAACCGUUUGAAUUCUGUUAUUACUGUUGAAUGUAGGGGGCAGGGGUUUAUAUAGAGAGUAAACUGUAGAAAGGGUUUAAUUGUUGGACUGUCUUCGGCUGGGCUUUUAUAUUUGUGGAUUGACUUCGCAAUUUUGAUUUAAGUUUUUGUUGAGGCCCAAGAGUUUCCGGCCUAAAAGCUUGGCUUCUGUGUUUUCACGCAAAUGUAAAAAAUUUGCAGAUGAUUGAGGAAGAAAGAUAUGCUGCAGCUGUGGAAUUGAGGAGACAGUAGGGAAAUGACAGCACUUCAACUGUGUCGACUGCCACUCUCACCUGCUGCAACCCAAUCCUCCUCCUUUGGUCACACCCUUUCAUGUUCAUUUCUAGCUCUAGUGACAAAACCCUAUUCACAAUUCAAAGGAGGAAAACCAGAGGAAAAACUGUACGGAUCCGAAAGGAGGAUCUUACAGAAACGCAACUACCCACCUCCUCACCUGCCCAAAAUCAACAGCAGCAAGAACCUGACCUCCAAAAAGUUCGUUCUCUUUUUAUUUUCGUUUGUUUUUUUAAAAUGAAUUUCUUGCUUAUCGAUUUCUUCAUAGUAAUGAAUCAUUAAGCUGUGUGUCUGUAUAUGCGUACGUCUUGGAGCUAUUCAGGAAAAAUAAGGACAUGCUCUUCAGCGAGGUUGAAAUAUCACUUACUCCUUUCUAUGUUCGUUUGACCAAAUAUCAUAAUUUUCAGUGUUCCAAUUUUCUAAGGUUAAACUCACCAUGAUGAGUUCUUACGUUCUAAAUAAAUCAUGAAUUUAGUAAAUAUUUCUUGGAACUCAAUACAUUUUUCUACUAAGUUUUUAGUUCAGUUGCAUUCGUUUGUUUUUAUAUGUACUCCAAUGAAUAUAUUUCUCUUUUGAAUCUCCAUAAUUCAUUAUUAAAGUUCAUUAAUUUUGAUGAAUUUGAAAUGUAUUGUUUUAACUCUACUUAAAAUUUAUUUGAAAUUAAACUCCUAUGUUUGAAAAUUGCAAGUUCGAAUAGUUAUUAUAUUAAAAACAAUCAUAGCAAAAUCUCUAAUAUCGUUAGUAAUGUUGUAAAUUAACUCACCCUCAUUUAAAUUUAAAGAUAAUAAAUCAUUACUUUUUGUGUUUCCUGAUCAAGAUUCAUUCACUAUCAAGGUAUUCACGUGAUUGUGAGUACAUUUGAAUGAUUUGCAAUUCAUAUAAUGAUGAGGUUAUUGAUAGAUUUCUAGAUAUUCACGAGUUUAGUAUUAGUAGUGUAAUUUCGUAUCACUGCCCAGUUGGGUUAAAGAGAAAAUAUAUAAAUUAGGGUCCUAAGCCUUUUUGGGUUCUCAAUGCAAUAGCCAAUAUGAAAGGUCUUCAGAAGCUUGUUAGAGAAAAAUGGACCAAUUACUCAGUUUUGAGAUUCACUAGCACUAAAUUAUCACACAAAAAAAUCUCAAAUUGUUAAAGAGAGCAUAUUUUAAGUGUCGCAUGGUAGAUUCAAUAGAAGAGGAAAUAUAAGAAACACAAGAAUGUUUAUGUAGAAUUGUCAAAGACUUAGAAUAGAACCAUAUGAAGAGAGGGACUGGGGAGCUUUUAGAGAAAAAGAAUUGGAAACUAAAGGUAAUUAGAAUGGAUGAGUGUAUAACUAGGGGAACAGUGAGGAUUAGAUGGCUAAGGAAGGGGAAAGUAAUACUAGGUUUCCCAUAAGAUGAUUAAUGUUAGGUGUAGAGUAAAUAGUGUUGCAUUUUUAGGCUUAAAAGUUAUUAAAAUAGAUGACCCAUAAGUAAUAAAAGAGAGUUUUAAGAAUUUUUACUGUGAACAUUUUGAAAACAAUAAUAGACAAAGUAUACAACUACAAGGGAUAGACUUUAAUAAAUUUAGCGAGGAAUAGAAAGUAGGGCUAGAGAAACAAUUUUCAGAAGAGGAGAUUAAUUUCACUGUCUUUGAGGGAAAGGGGGAUAAGGCCCCACGGUUAGAUGGUUUUCAUAAAGCAACUGGAGGUGCUUGCUGAUAUUCUGCAGGUUAUGGAUGAAUUCCACUGUAUGAAAUUUUUUUAAAAUUCUUUAAAACUUUCCUAACCCUUUUUCGAGAAGUAGAGAAUCCGACAGGUUUAAGAGAUUUCAGGCCUAUUUCACUAGUUAAUAUUGUGCAUAAAAUAAUCAUAGAAGUGUUGAUGAAUAGGAUAUGACGUAAAAUGUGGCUUGGUUAGUGAAUCAUAGUUGCUUUUUUUGAAAGAUAGACAAUUGAUGGAUUGCAUAUUGAUUGCUUUAAAAAUGGUUAAUUUAAUGCAAAAAAUAAUAGGGACAGUGUGUUUUUAAAGGUUGAUUUUGGAAAAGCUGAUGAUAUGAUUGAUUAGAAGUUCCUAGAAUGUUCUGAAUGAAAUGAAUUAUGGUAACAAAUGGGUGAAAUGAAUUAUGAAAUGUAUCUCUUCUGUUGGCAUCUCUAUUCUGAUUAAUGGUUCUCCUUUUGGACAGUUUAGAAUGAAAAGGGGUUUAAGGGAGGGGGACUUGCUGUCCACUUUCUAGUUUCAUAUAGUAGCAGAAGGCUGAACUAAAUGUAAAUAGAGCAGUGAGUAAUUGGGUUCAUAAAAGAAGUUCCUUUUAAUAAUUCAGGGAGCAAUUUCAGUUCACUUCAAUUUGUGGAUGAUACAUUGUUUUUUGUAAUAAGAUGAGGAUCAUAUCAUAAAUUUUUAGAGAUUUUUGGGGUGUUUUGAGUUGAUUUCUGGUUUAAAGGUUGUUUUUUUGAUAAGCAAGGUAUAUGGAAUUGGUGUAGAUAAUGGGCAGAUGGAUAGGAUAGUAGAGCAAAUUAGACGUGAAGUAGCCUUCUUACCUUGUAUAUGCUUAGGCUUCCCUUUGAGAGCUAAUCCAUCCUCUGUUAACAUGGCAACCAGUUUUUGAUAAGAUGGAAAGAGGUUAGCGGCAUGGAAGGUUAAAUAUGUGGUAAAGGCCGUUUUGGAAUCAAUUCCAUAUUUUUUAUGUCACUGACAUAACUACCAAUAGGGUUAGAAAAAAUUUGGGAAGUAUCAUUAGGAACUUUUUGUGGAUAGCACCAAAGACAAUAGGAAGGUUCAUUUAGUAUCUUAUGGAACAAUUUGCAUACCUAAGAGGGAGGGAGGACUAGGGUUUGGUAGUAUUGCUGAAAUGAAUAGGACAUUACUGAAUAAGUGGACAUACAUGUGUUGUGAUGAAGUGGGAACUUUUUGGAGGAGAGUUAUAUGUGAAAUUCAUAAUAAUGGUGAGCAUUAGUCCCACUGAGUGAGAGACUACCGAUGGGUUCGACAGGUUUUUGGAAAGGUAUCAUUAAGGACAACCUAGAAGAAUGUGUUUUUACUUUUAAUGAUCAUGGCUGUUUUAUACUUCUCCUUGAUGAUGGUUCUAUAAUUGAUUUUUGGAAUGAUCUGUGGGUAGAAGAGGAAAGCCUUUACUGUAGGUUCUUGAGAAUAAACUAUUUGUCCAUUGCCAAAUCUAGUCUGGUGUCGGCCUUUGGGGAAUGGAAAAACAUCUUUGGCUGGGAAAGUGAUUUUAAGGCCCAUUUUAAUAAUAUCUUGAGGAACGUAACUUUGAAUAAGGAGUCCAAGGAUAGGAUUGUUUGGAAUUUUAAUGUGGUUGAGAUUUUUUAGUUAAGGGUGAAAGGGGUACACUAGGUGUCUUUUAGGUGUUGAGGAGAGACAAGCUCUUGAGGCUAGUAUUUGGAAGUCACAAAUACUCCAUAUGGUUAAAAUGUUUUCCUAACAAUUGAUUAGAAGACGGGUAUUAAUGUUAAAUUAUUUCCAUAAUUGUAGGAUUAAGUUAGAUAAACCCAAGUGUUUGUGUUUUGUAAGGGCAACACAGAUUCAAUAGAUCAUGCAUUCCCUCAUUGUAUAUGGAGCUGGAAAGUAUAGGGUACAUGAUUAGGUUGGUAUGAUAUUGAAAGGGUCACCCUGGGUUCAAUUAGGGACCUAUUAAGUUUCAUUGUGGGUUGAUAAAGGGAGGGAAAAGAUUUGGGGAACUUUUAUUUUUUUAUUAUAAUUUGAGGUUUAUGGUUGGAAAAAAUGGUAGCAUUUUCAGACAAAAGAAGAUGGGUGUUGGUGAACUUAUGGAUUUGGUUAGGAUUCGGUUGGCUUGGUGGAUUAAUUCAUGCAUUCCCAUAUUGAAGCAAUUGGCUUUGAAUAAUCUCUUCAUCUCAAUUCUAGAGUUGCCACUUGCGAGAAGAAAAAAUGGCGAGAUCAAACCUAUUGUUUGGGACCCUACUCCGUCUGGUUGUUGGAAAUUUAAUGUUCACAAAUCUUUUUUUAGGUAAAUCUAGGCCUGCAGGUUUUGGUGGCAUGUUAAGAGGCUGGUUGACAAACAUAAGGUGUUUCUUUUAAAAAAAUUAUGGCAUGUUAGACUCUAACAUAGUUGAAUUGAUAGCGAUUAAAAAGACUUACGGUCUGCUUGUUUAAUCAUCCUAUGGCUGGUGUGGAUAAUGUUCUUGUGGAAAGCGAUUCUACAAUGGUUAUGUUGUGGAUGUUGAAAGAUAAUUAUCCUUGGAAGCUGAAUAAGAUCAGAAACGAGAUAAAAAAAUAUGAAGAAUUUGUCGGGAAAUAUUGUUUUUAUGAUUAUAAACAAAGAAAAGAACACAAUUGUUGAUGUCGUAGCCAAGUCUGGUGUAAAUAGACAAGAAGAAGUUUGCAUCUGGUUGUAAUAUGUGAGUUGAUACUUAUUCAGUUUCUAUUGUCACUAGGAAACAUUUCUUGACCUCGUUGGCUGCCCUUUCUUUUCAGCUUGGACUUGCUUUUCAUGGGUAUUUGGUGUGGGAUAUUCUUGUGUGGUAAUUUGUGCGAGUGGGCUGCUUUUUUGGUACUUAUCUCUAAAGGUUGUUUGCUAUGGACUCUGCUCAUUACCAGAUCAUGUGGGGAUUGUUUUGUGAAGCCGGAAAAGACAUUAUUUUUCCAAUUCAUGAAACUGCAGCUUUUCUUAACCCAUGGAUUAAAGAUUCAGAAAUUCGAGGAAGCUGAUCUCUAGUUUAAUCGGAUUAAAUAAUUUAUAUCCAACCUCAUUUUCUCUAGUGAUGAGCAGGAGAAAAGGCUUGUAUCUCGCAACUGAUACAGUACCAGUCCAUGGACCCAACUUUAUUCACAGACACUGCCAUAGCAAUGGCAAAAUUAUCCCAUCCCAGUAAGUAUUAACAAACAGCAUUUAGUUUUGUUGUUAGCAAGGUAUAAUUAAGUUCAUUUGCAGGAAUUUGGUGGGAGAAAUGUGGACAUAGCUUUCCUGAACUGCAGAAGCAACCGAUUCAAAUAUUGAGCUAGGGUUGUAAGCCCGUUUGCUGCCAUAAAUUGGAUGAUAAGAAAAAUGUGUAAGAAAUAUAAAUGUUAUGUCUACGAGCUAAUUAUAUAUGUAAUAUAUUGAAUACAUUAUUAUUUAAUGAUCUAUUUUAAUAUAUAGUAAUAAUCUUUUUAUCAUCUUAUUAUUUAAUUUAUUUGAUAAAUUUUUUUUAUUAAAUUUAUAGAUUUUACAUUAAAAUAGCGAUCUUAAUAAUGAGAAUAAAAUAUUUUAUGAUUUAAUUUAAAAUAUUUUUAGUCGUUGAAUAAUUAAAAUAGAAUAUUAAUGAUCUGGAAAAACUAAUAUAUGUGCGAUAGUUUUUAUGAGAUAAAAAUUAAUUGAUCUCGUUAACUAAAUUACAUAUAUAGAUAAUGUAUAUGUAGAUAUGAUCAUUAAACCAAUUCAAUCGAGAAUUUUUAAUGAUUAAUAUUAUCUUAAACCAUCAAUAGAUUAUUCUCUUAGAAUGAUGAGACGUAAGAAUUUUUUUAUAUAUGAAAUCAUCACAGUAAUUGACAAGUCGUUUAUUAUAUUUUAAUUUUGAACACCUAUAGUUGAAAGGAUAUUUAGUGUGAUUAAAUAUUUAUAAAAUUAAUUAUUAAUCAAGAUUGAGGAUCUAUCAACUUUAGUAAUAAGUUUAAGUUCUAUAUUAUUAUUUAUUAUAAGAACUAUUUUAAAAUAUUUGACAGAACAGGUAAAUGAAAGAAGAAAAUAAUUUUUUAUGUCAUUCAUUAGUCAGUUAUAAUUGACAUGAAAUAUAGUUGGUUAUCUAUGGAGAUUUGACAGUUAAAUUAUAUUUUAGAGUUAAACCAGAAUAAUAAUGAUAAAAGAAAAUAUUACAUCUUUUGUUAGCAGAUUUUUAAGAGUAAUUGUAUAUUUUAAAUUAUACGGUCGUUGAGAAGUAUUGUUAGACACCAAUCCUGAUUAGUAAAUUAGUUUAACCAAUUUAUUAUCGAAUUAGUACAGAGUGUUCGAAUUUUUAAAUAAUUUUAGUUUAAGAAUCUUCUAUGAGAUAUAUUUUAAAUUUAAUUUUUAAUUUGUAAGUGCAGAUAAAUAAAAUUAAAUUAUUUUAUAUUUUUUUGUUACAUACUAUAAAAAUAUUACAAUACUGCAAAAUAUACUGGGUUGGAAAAUGGUGAUGAUGGAGAGUUGGAAAGCAUUUGAAAGGCGGCGGGCUUUGGAUCCCAUCCAUUGACGUGGAGAAACUUGGUGGGAGUAAAUGGAUAGACCCAGAAGAUCUUAUGGGGUGAUAUUCAAGUUUUGGUUUACGAGCAGUCUCUACCUCAGUUGGAUUUCUGCUUCCUCCGCAAACCUGUCCGAUGCCUUUAUUGUUUGAAUUGUGAUUUUUCUUCUUUUUUUUAUGGCAAAGUGGAAUUGUAGGAGUCAGUCUGAUGAUGUUUGAAAAUGUUUGUGGGUUCCUCAUUUACUCAUAGUUUGGAUAUAUGAUAUGAUCAUACUGCAUUAGCCGUUCUUAUAUCCUCCUAUACUCCCCACAUUUUAAUUUUAAUUUUUUUUUUUUUUGUACCUAUAACUUUUACUCUGCCUCCAUGACUUAGAAAGUUAAGAGAUUUGAUGAUACUUAAAGAUUCAAAUCUUUUUUUAUAAUAAAAAACUAAUUUUAAAUAAAAUAAUAAAAGAGAUUGUGAUUCUACUUUUUACGGCAAGGGUAAUGUUUUUGGUAUUUUGAAUUAAAAUAUUCAUAAAUACCAUUUUGUCAAAAUAUUUACUAAAAGAGAUGAUGUUUAUCAAUCAAGAGUAGAUCGUCGGUAUGUCACAAACAUAUCUCCUUGUGAGGUGAUUUUUUAGUGGUAGAUGGGCAUGUAGGUAAAGACUAUUACUACUUUCCACUUUUUUAAUGGUUUGCAUUUUCUUUUCUUACAAAUUGUUUCAAACACCUUGUUUUAUAAUGUCAAUUUAUUUUCUUUCUUACUUACAAAUUAUAAUAUAUAUAUAUAUAUAUAUAAUACAUAAAAAUUUUUUGCAUCGACUAGAAACUUCCAACAUUUUUUAAUUUAACAUAAUUAAAUAGUACUUAAACAAUUAAAUAAAAGGUUGAUUUUAUAAGUCAUAAAAUUUUAGAGUGUCUAAUAUCUCUCCCAAAAUGCACCUAGCCUUUGGACUCAUAAUUAGGAUAAGGAUGACCUAAUCGCAAAUGAAUUUUGAUUAUUCUAUUUUUCUUGAUUGUAUUUAAUGAAUAUUACAAUCUAUAUUUCUCCGAUAUUAGCUCAAACUCUGUGGUAAAUAGUAAAGACUAAUUAUGCACCGGUCUAAAAUAUCUCAUAAACAUUAUGACUUUAGCGGGGUAGAAAAGAUAGAUUCUAAAAAAUUGUUGAAGUUUUUAAAAUCCUUUUUUUUUUUUUUUUUUAAUUUCAAAUUUUCUUCCAUCAUUGUUAAUAAGAAUUGCAAUUGCCUUGAUAAAAUGGGAGCAUGAGAUCUCAAGCUCCAUUUAAACCAAUAUUUUGUAUCAUGUAAAUUAUUACCUGAAGUUGAGAAUUAAAAAUAUAUCAAAAGAUAAUUUGUAUUCUUUCUACUAACAUAUUUAUUUGAUUGAUAUAUACGAAUGGCAUUUUGUUUGGAAAACCGAUUGAUUAAACUAAUUUCUCGAACUAAACUCAUAUCUACACUGUUAGAAAUUUUAAUAGGAUGGUUUUAGGGUAUGGAAAACUUUUCUCAUCUUUAUCAACACCAAUUUCCCCAUCCUUGAUCGCAUCGAAAACAUGUUUAUAUUUCUUAUUCCUAAACUGUUAAAGAAUAUGAAUUUCUUGCUUUUCCACGUGGAUUUCUUUUCUUCUUUCAUCUUUUCAAAUUAUAAUCAAAUUAAAACUAUAACUACACAUAUUUUUAAUCUAAAUACCAAAUUAUUUUAAAAAAUCUUAAAUUCAAUAUACUUAAUAGAUUUGUUUUAAAACAAAUAUCUAAGUUAUUUUUAAGUAACGUGAUUUGAUAAUUUUUUAGUUAGUAAAUAAUAAAAAACUGUAGCAAUUCGGGAUUUAAAAAGAAAUAAAUUAUAAAUUGAAUGCAGAAGCGAAAUAAUAAAGUUACAGUUUACAUUCCUUAUACAAUAAUUUAGAAUACUUAAUAGGGUUACGAGAAUGACUCUUCUAAAAGAACAAACGAAAAAUCAAAGAAAUAAAUGAAAAAUAAAUAACUGGGCAUCCUAUUCGCAACCUUCUUGUGAAUCGGAAUCUAAAUCUUGAUCAUCUUGAUCUGAAAUGGUUAAUGGAAGAGUGAGCUCUACUAAACUAGUAAGAAUGUCACACUACUCAACGAUAUAGAAAUGAAUGUUGGUAAAAAUUAUAAAAACAACUAAUAGAGCUCUUAAUUUAAGUAAAUUCCUUUAUCAUAAAUAAAAUUAUUUAUUACAUACUUACCAUAGUGAGAUUUUCAAAAUUAAUUUAUAGAAACAACAUCAUAAUUUCAUUUUCAAUUAGCCAAAACAACAACUUUCCAUUUUUAUCUGCUUACUAAUAUCCAUGGGGGUCUAUAGAGAUGUCCCCAUUAUACGUGAACCUUUACGGUUUUUGGUUUUUCUCGCAAUGGCGCCGUUGGGCAUUAGCCGCAGUUUCCGGCUCAUCUGCCAGUCCUUUUACUCUGAUACCAUCAGGUUGUUCAAAAUAAAAUUUCGAGCAAAUUAGAACAUUUUUACAUUUUUUGGUGUUCAGAGGUAGUUCUGGUGCGGCGAGGGACAGCGGUCAACUCUUUUCUCCGGCGACUGGUUCUUCUUCUCCGACGGGGGGCUGGCGGGUAGGGUUAAGAUUCGGUAUGAAGUGAGAUAUUUAUACAUGUCUUCUUUUAAUUUAGGCCGUUCAUCGCGUUUGAUAUCAACUGUCCGAUCGCGUUUAAAAAAGAAAUAAAUAUGAACCGUUGAUCGCGAUUUGAUAUGUACCGUACGAUCGCAUUUAAAGAUGGAACAAAUCUGAACCGUUUAUUGUGUUUAAUCGCAAUCGUCCGAUUGCGCUGAAGAGCGAAUGGAUCUGGACCGUCCAUGCGGAUGGGAACAAAUCCGGAUCGUUCGAUCGCGGGUAUGCGGAUUGCCAGCGUGGCCUUCCGUGUGGUAUCGAGUCAAUGUGUCUUACCACGUGGGGCGCUCCGGUUCCUCGUGACUGCUUAUUGGGCGAUCCUGCGUGGUAUAUUUUUCCUAAAUUGCGUUUUGACUCCGAAUUUUCGAUUUUUCUUUUAAAAAUACAUCCAAAACCUAAAUUUUUACCUCUUUUUCUAAAAUUAUUUUCAAUUUCAUCAUCCACCUAUUUUUUUCUAAUUUUCACAUUAAAUAAAAAUUCAAAAAUUUAAAAAUUAUAUUUACAUAAAUUUAUUUUUAUUUUUUUAAAAAAUUAAUUUCGGAAUAAAUUUUGGAGCUCGAGUAUUACAAAAACAUUACGUGCAUAUAUAAAAGAAUAAAAAUAUAUUAUUAUAUACAUGAAGUGAGUAAAGUAGGAUGGAAUGAGGUAGGAUAGGGACCUAUUUCCUGAGUUUUUUCCCUAAUUUAAAUGAGCUUAAGAAUUUUCUCAUUUCUUAUUUAAUUGGAAGUCAAAUGAGGGACUGACUCAUACUGUUUGAUGAUUUCUCAUUAGAUCUUUGUCAGAUUUAAAUUAACAUGUCCUCUCUAUGAAAACCAUUAAUUCUUUUUAAAGCAUUAGAAAUGUUUGUGUUUGGAUCCUGAAAAAUUUCUUAAGCUUAUAUGUGUUAAAACUUUUAAUUACACAUCAAAAUUAUUUUUUAGUGAAAGAAAUGACUUCUAUAUAGUCCAAAGAAGCAAAAUCUCAUAUUAAAAAAUACUAUAACUUGUAAUAUCCUUUUUCUGUUGGUAAAUACUAUUAUUGAUUAUCUUUUUUAUUUUAGUACAUAUUUAAAUAAAAUGAUAUCUAAAAAGAAUUUGCUUAUUUCUUAAGACAAAGUUGUAAAUAUUUUUAAAAACUUCAAAAUUAAUCGUAAAUAACAUUUAGUGAAAAACAUCACGCCAAUAUGAUCCUUCAUAAGGAGGAAUGUCUUUAACUAAACUUACUUAAUAAACAUAUUGAUUCCUCCUUAAUUGAUAAACAUCAUUACUCUUUGGUAACAUAUUUUUAAAAGAUGGUAUUUAUCUUACUUGAAAAGGAAGUUAUGAGUGUUAAAAUAAGAUAAAAUCUUAAAUAUUUUUCAAAAAUAAUAAAACUUAUUAAUAAAUCAAAAUUUUUAAGUCAAAGUAUUAAAGGUGUGAUUCUUAAUGAAUUAAAUCACCCCUUGUACAACUUAUCACACAAUGUAUGAUCAUUUUAACUUAAUUCACAAUCCUUUAGAUUAUUUUGGGUGAAGAUAUUUCUAACACUAUUAGGUUUUUUUAUACAGCUCAUUACUAAGAGAUUCAAUUCUAGGUAUUAAACCUCUAACUUCCAAAUCAUUGAAGCAGGGAAAAAGUUGUUGGUAAAAAUAUGAUAAUUAAAAUGCCGCGUUUCAGGUUGAAGAGAUAGAGAGUAUACAGUGGUGAAUAGAAGAAAUUUGGUUCACCCAUGAAGAUUAGGAAUAUAUGAGGAUGGAGCAGCAAAUGCAAUAUGAUCAUAUCAUAUAUACAGGCCAUGAGUAUACAAGAAAUCCACAAACAAUUUCAACAUCAUCAGACUGACUCCUAUAUUUCCUUUUCUGAAAAGAUAGAACAAAGAAGAAGAAACAUCACCGACCGAACCACAAUUCGAACAAUAAAGGAUUCUUUGCUGAGGAAGCAGAAUCAAACUGAGAUAUCAGAAGGGCAUAAGGCCUGAGAGACUACUCAUAAUCAAAACUUGAGUAGCAGCCUAAAAGAUCUUCUGGGUCUGUCCAUUCAAUUCCAUCAAGUUUCUCCACAUCAAUAGGAUUCAAAGCCCGUCUUUCAAAUGCUUUCCAGCUCUCCAUCAUCACCAUUCUCCAGCCCCAUACAUUUUUCUUAUCAUCCAACUCAUGACAGCAAAUGAAAGUACAACCAUGGCUCACUAUUCGAGUCGCUUGCUUCUGCAAUUCAGGAAAGCAAUCACCACAUUUCUCCCACCAAAUUCCUGCAAAUCAACUCAACAUUAUCAACAUUAUACCUUGCUAACAAUUAAAGUAAAUGUUGUUUGUUAAUACUUAUUGGGAUGGGAUAAUUUUGCCAUCGCUAUUGUAGUGUCUGUGAAUAGAGUUGGGUCCAUGGACUGGUACUGUAUCAGUUGUGAGAUACAAGCCUUCUGCUUCACAUCAAUAGAGAAAAUGAGGUUGGAUAUAAAUUGCUUAAUCCGAUUAAAUUGGAGAUCAGCUUCCUUGAAUUUCUGAGCAAGCAAGUUAGAUGGGUUAAGAAAAGCUGCAGUUUCAUGAAUUGGAAAGAUUGUCUUUUUUGGCUUCAGAAAACAAUUCCCAUAUGAUUUGGUAAUGAGCAGAAUCAAGUGUAUUUUUGUCCUCAUUGUAUUCAGCAAGGCUAGACUCCGUCUUCUCCAACAGUUAGUAUAAGUAUCCCAAACCUGGACUGUCCACUGAAAGUAGCAGACACAGCUUGAAAUAGCGGGCAUAAAAUCAUCUGUAACCUUUUCAAUCCACUCCAGAAAUCCUUGCAAUGAAUCCCGAAGUUAAUGAAAAUAGCAGCUUCUUUGUCUUCAUAUUCCAACACAUGAUCACUAAUACUUGGAUGGGUUGCAGUGCUUGUUCAACUCCCGAUAAGUGAUUUCAACACCCAGAAUCCGCUUGCAAUUUUUGGACAGCUCAGCAUCCCAUUGCGUAUGAUUCAAGCACCCAACAAUGGCGUCCAAGUUCUUGAAUUUGCUCAUAUCCAGUGGAAUGCAAACAAUCUUGGGCUCGUAAUAUUUGUCUAUGAAUUUGGCAUCAGCCAUCGCAGAUUUCACCAUAUUCCGCACAAAACCAACUUGGAAUAUGCUCACUAAAAGUUUCCCAAGAACCCCAGCAGCACAUUUGCUGAUGACAGUCACCCAUGGAUGUUGUUCAUUGAAAAGAUUCACCAUAGAUUGAGUAACUUUCUCAUGAGCCAAGAACUGAACAAUAUUUGCAGGAUCAAUGGCAUCAAGCUGUCCUUUGAGAUCCCGUACCUAACACUUUUCUGAAUCCCAAGGUAAAGCUUGGCUCCUUUGAGUUUGAGGGUAAACGUCAGGCCACAGAAAUAUCCCUUGGGGUGUAUACACUCUUAUGCCUCUAAAUAUCUCGUACCAUGACCUAAACUUCUUUAUGUAAGUCGUUAUGGUGCAACCACUUUUGUUUAAAGAGUGCUUCAAAUCUUGGAAAUACUCCUCCACUUCUUUCUCCACUUGUGGAAUCAAGCGAGUUUCCAGAAUUUCACGGUCUGGCAGUUGAAAAGGAGACCCGAAAUCCCAUACAGCCCUUAUUAAGUCAAUAAAGAAUGGUGACUCCAUAAAAUGUUCUGAAGAUUCUGAAUCUUUAGCCCUGCUUGUAGCAAUGAACUUGGCAAGCAUUUUGUCCACUGAUUCUUUAUCCUUAUUCUUUGCCUCCAUGACUGCUACAGCACCUUGUGAUGCUGGUGGUGAGGAAGCACAAAUGAUCGCCUUUGACAUGAUAGUUUUUCUUGUUUUCUUGGCAGCUGGUUAUGAAUUAAAAAAGACAGAGUGAGAGAGAGAGAGAGAGUUAAUGCUAAAGUGAAAUGACAAAAAGAAAGUAAUUCAUCAUCAGAACCACACAGAAACUAUAUGCCGGAAAGAUUUUUGAAAGAUACACAAAGAAAAAUGGUGAGAUUCAUAAACUGAAGGGAGUAAAAAAGAAGAGCAGUUUCUUGAAGAAAGAAAGAAGAUACCAAGGUUUGAUUUGGCGAAACCUUACAGAAGUGGGAACCGUUGAAUUCUGUUACUACUGUGGAAUGUAGUGGGAAGGGGUCUAUAUAGAGAAUAAACUGUAGAAAGGAUUCACGGGUUGGACUCUGUCUUCGAUUGGGCUUAUAUGUUUGAAUUAAGUUUUGGUUGAAGCCCAAAAUUUUCGGGUCUAAAACCUCUGCUUGUCUUUACAAAGGUUGGCUUUCUUAUUGGUUUUUCUCAGUUCUUCAAGAAGAUAAUCACCGUUCGUUCUUAACCACGAAAAUCAAAGUUCACGCAAGUUAUUGCAUGUUUUUGGUUUCCACAAAAAUAAGAAAUUUGCAGGUGAUUGAGGAGGAAAGAGAUGCUGGAGCUGUGGAAUUGAGCAGACAGUAGGAGAAAUGACAGCACUUCAACUGUGUCAACUGCCACUUUCACCUGCUGCAACCCAAUCCUCCUUUCGUCGCACCCAUUCAUGCUUAUUUCUAGCUCUGAGUGAUAAAAGCCAGACCAUAAUUCAAAGGAGGAAAACCAGAG
rnacentral:lncRNA from 1 species